rnacentral:lncRNA from 1 species
GACAGGUUCAGAUGUUUCAGCAUAGAAGGAUUUCUAGCUUCUGAGGAAGGAGGUCCUUCAGUCCUGAAAUGACAUCUGGGGAGCAUGUCACAGCAUCCACUAGAGUCCACUGCUUGUGCUGCUUGGAUCCACUUCUUCAUGGAGAAGUUCCUCUACCAAAAUUAUCUUGAAUGAUUCAACCGCUUCAAAUCCUUCAACAGUUCCCAAUCACUUACAGAUGGAAGUCCAAACCCCCCUGGCGUGAUUUUCAAGGUCUCCUCUUUUUAAAAAACGGAAUCUUUGGCAGAUCAAAGGUGGAACUAGAACCUAAGUCAACUGACUCCUGUUCUAAUAAUCCCUGAACAAAUAGCUAUAGUAAAUGUAGUAAGUUCUACAAGAAAGAUUAAGAUAGAGCACAGGGGUGGAUGGGGAGGCCCAUUUGUCAUAUGAUGCUUGCAUCUCCUCAGCCAUUCAUUUCCAGGGAUUGGAAUGCCUCCUAAAAGAUUAACCAUAGUCAUCUCGGGGUGGCAGAGUUGCAGGUGGUUUUUCAGAAUUUUGUUAUCAUUUUGAGUAUUUUUCAACAGCAAACAUUUUUCAUCUGCGUAAUAAAAGCAAAAUGAUAAUG